GGCUUCGUGGCCCAAUGGCAAGGCGUCUGACUACGAUAGGGGGCAGUACAUGGCAGUACAUCCUCAGCGAUAAUCAGGAGAUUCUGGGUUCGACCCCCAGCGAGGUCA